GUGAUGGCUUCAUUCGGUCAUUGUUUUUUGUCUUUUAGCUUUGCUGUGCUUUGGGUGGAUGGUAUCUGUUUGAUGUUUGUUAUGUUUUCUAUUAAAUUAGUACCUGUACUUUUACAGUAUUCCAUGGAGGCCGGAGUGUGACACAGGAUUAAUUAUUAGUAAUUAAUGGUUAAUUUAACUUUGACUGCAUGCUGCAUUAGCGGAUACAACAAGAAAACAUCCAACCAAAGUGAAGUCUUUUUUUUUUAAAUCACAAAAGCCUGGUAGUUUAGCCUUUCAUGUAUUUUAACAGUUUAUACCAAACAUAGGGAAACGGUAUCAUUUUUUGGAAAAGCAUCAAGUCCUACCUCAUCCUCAUGGGAUAUUAUGUCAGAUAAAAACUUACACUCAAUGACGAGAGACAAGUAAUUUUUUUUAUCUCUAUGCCAUCAGUUACACAUUCUACAUUUGUCAGUUUAAAAGAUUAAAAAAAAAAGUCACAAUUUGUUGUAAAAAUGUUGAACUAUCAGCCUGUGAAAAUACGGAAAUGUAAAGACUAGACACCUAAGGUGACGCCAUCAUAACUGACUCCAUCAUCUGUUCUGAGUCACUGAAGACGUCUCUGCAGCUUCAACAUGACCAGACUUCUAGUGAUUUUCACAUCUUUGAAUACUUUUUCACCUUACCCUCAAAAAACGAGGUGAAAUAUACUGAAGCAACUGAGAUGCGAUGAGAAAUGCAGUCCACUGAGCUUUUUCCACACAAAACAAGUUGUUACUUCUAUCUCUACCAUAAACUCUGGCUUAAAUAGACAAAUUUUAUGUGUAUGUGAUCGAAAAAUUAGUUGUCUCUUUCCAUUGGCUGCUGUUUGUAUUUUUUCUGACAUUCUCACAUUUUGACUGGACACAGCAAGACUUCAGCUUUAUUAUUAGUGCAGGCCCUAAAAAAAAAAAAAAAAUCCAAAAUCUGACUUUAGACUUUAAAUCUGAUUUCUGAAGACCCUUUUUAAGUGAAUUGUGUCACUACCUUUACUUUUAUGUAGUAGCAUUAGCUUUAGCAUAUUGUCAUUCAACUUCCAUCUAGAUUCCAUCUGAAAAUGUAUCGACUGCUGUGACAAAACUACAAAAUGAAACCAACACAGAUCUAAUUACUGUUAAAGCAGAGUGCAGCAUUAAAAGUUCAGUCAGUUCUUUUACUUUCAAAUCCUUGGAAUUGUUUUUUCUGUCCUUUUUUUCUCAGUGAGGAUGAGAAAUAAUUUUUAAAUAACCUUAAAAGGUCUUAACUUAACUUUUUGAAACCUCCUAUAUUCAUUUUAAUUCAGAAAAAAUAAUUUCUGUUUUUAAUAUCACCGAUUUAAUAUUUAAAAUCCAAAAGAAAGUAACAAUAUUAACGUAAGGAUUUCUUUGCGUAUUUUUGUCCAUCCAUCAUUUUUUCUUUUGCUGAUUUUACAUUUACAUUCUCUACCAGAAAACAUUCAGACAAACAGAACUUAAUUCAUUAUUAGUAGACUAUAGGUACAGCCGUGGCACACUCCAGACUCUGUAUUAGACGUCCAGUAUCAUCUAAAUGAAACGUUGCUUUCUUUGCUCAUUCAGCAGUGUUAGUGAGUUAAGUUAGCUCUAGACUAGGAGUAUUAUAGAUAAAGCCUUUUACACAAACUUAAAAGUUAACACACACUGGCCACGUCAAGUAAAAUAAUAACAAU